rnacentral:rRNA from 1 species
GACGAACGCUGGCGGCGUGCUUAACACAUGCAAGUCGAACGGAAAGGCCCUGCUUUUGUGGGGUGCUCGAGUGGCGAACGGGUGGGUAACACGUGAGUAACCUGCCCUUGACUUUGGGAUAACUUCAGGAAACUGGGGCUAAUACCGGAUAGGAGCUCCUGCUGCAUGGUGGGGGUUGGAAAGUUUCGGCGGUUGGGGAUGGACUCGCGGCUUAUCAGCUUGUUGGUGGGGUAGUGGCUUACCAAGGCUUUGACGGGUAGCCGGCCUGAGCGGGUGACCGGCCACAAGGGGACUGAGAGAGGGCGCAGUCUCCUACGGGAGGCAGCAGUGGGGAAUAUUGCACAAUGGGCGGAAGCCUGAUGCAGCAACGCCGCGUGCGGGAUGACGGCCUGCGGGGUGUAAACCGCUUUCGCCUGUGACGAAGCGUGAGUGACGGUAAUGGGUAAAGAAGCACCGGCUAACUACGUG